rnacentral:lncRNA from 1 species
UGGCAGGAAGCAGAGUGCUGGUCUUACACAACACUUUUUGUUGGUGUCAGCAUCAAAGGAAGAACACUGAAGCACGUAGGACAAGGCCUGAUCUUGUAUAACCUGAGUCUUCGGGAAAGAUGGUACAGGAUGCUAGAAGUUAAUGAAAAAAAUAUUUAAAGUACUCAAGAGAAAGUAACUCUAAACCCACAAUUCUAUACCUACAUAAAUUAUUAUGCAAAAAUAAUGUUUUAUUUUUUGAGAUGGAGUUUCACUCGUGUUGCCCAGGCUGGAGUGCAAUGGCGUGAUCGCAGCUCACUGCAACCUCCACCUCCCAGAUUCAAGAGAUUCUCCUGCCUCAGCCGCCCGACUAGCUGGGAUUACAGGCAUGUGCCACCACGCCUGGCUAAUUUUCUGUAUUUUUAGUAGAGACAGGGUUUCCCCAUGUUGGCCAGGCUGGUCUUGAACUCCUGACCUCAGGUGAUCCACCCACCUUGGCCUCCGAAAGUUCUGGGAUUACAGGCGUGACCCACUGCACCCAGCUUAGUUUGUUCCUUGUUUAUUGCUGAAUAGUAUGCCAGUGUGUGGACAGGUCACAUUUUGUUAUCUGUGCACUAGCUG